rnacentral:lncRNA from 1 species
CUCUCGUGGCACUGCCGAAGCCUGCAGUGACUUCGAGGGCGGAAUCUCAGGAUGAAGCUGUGUUGUUACCUGGAAAGACAGGAACACUGGGGAACACAGGCUUCCUCAGAUCAGGAAAACCUCCUCUUUCUUUUGUCUUUUAAGUGAAUCAGACCCUGAGGAAAUGAACAUGCAUGAGGAAAUUCCUGCCAUCUUCUCCCCUGUACCAUUUCAUUGUCCAUGGGACUGACACCGCUGGUCCCUAGUCCCAGAACCCACACACACAAGCAAGGUGGAGUCUGCGGAGUGUUGGAAGGUUUGCAUCUCCCAGAUAAACAGCCCGGAUGAGACUGCAGCAAAAGCCUAA